GUUCAAAUGUUCAUAAAUGACCAGCAUGGUCAAAUAAUAAUAAUCAUAGUAGUUGUCGAGGGUGCAACAAGUCAGUAACACAAGAGUAAGUGUCAGUUGGCUUUUUCAUAGCCGAUCGUUGAGAGUAUCUCUACCGCUCCUGCUGUCUCUAGAGAGUUGAAAACAGCAGGUCUGGGACAGGUAGCACGUCCGGUGAACAAGUCAGGGUUCCAUAGCUGCAGGCAGAACAGUUGGAACUGGAGCAGCAGCACGGCCAGGUGAACUGGGGACAGCAAGGAGUCAUCAAGCCAGGUAGUCCUGAGGCAUGGUCCUAGGGCUCAGGUCCUCCGAGAGAGAGAGAGAGAGAGAAAGAAAGAAAGAAAGAAAGAAAGAAAGAAAGAAAGAAAGAAAGAAAGAAAGAAAGAAAGAAAGAAAGAAAGAAAGAAAGAAAGAAAGAAUUAGAGAGAGCAUAUUUAAAUUCACACAGGACACCGGAAAAGACAAGAGAAAUACUCCAGAUGUGACAGACUGACCCCAGCCCCCCGACACAUAAACUACUGCAGCAUAAAUACUGGAGGCUGAGACAGGAGGGGUCAGGAGACACUGUGGCCCCAUCCGAUGAAACCCCCGGACAGGGCCAAACAGGUAGGAUAUAACCCCACCCACUUUGCCAAAGCACAGCCUCCACACCACUGGAGGGAUAUCUCCAACCACCAACCACCAACCACUAAACUCUACACACACAGUCCUGGAGUACCCUAAACCCUACACACACAGGCCUGGAGUACCCUAAACCCUACACACAUGGGCCUGGUGUACCCUAAACCCUACCCACUAAACCCUACACACACAAUCCUGGAGUACCCUGAACCCUACACACACAGUCCUGGAGUACCCUAAACCCUAAACACACAGUCCUGGAGUACCCUAAACCCUAUACACUAAACCCUACACACACAGUCCUGGAGUACUCUAAACCCUACACACACAGGCCUGGAGUACCCUAAACCCUACACACUAAACCCUACACACACAGUCCUGGAGUACCCUAAACCCUACACACACAGGCCUGGAGUACCCUAAACCCUACACACUACAUACACAGGCCUGGAGUACCCUAAACCUUGCACACCUCAUCCUAAAAUAUGCCAAAACCUGGACACACAUACAGAGAAUAGUUAAGUUCAUAAUUUUAAGGGUAUGUUAUUAUUUUAAGGGUAUAUUAUUAUUUUAAGGGUAUGUUAUUAAUUUAAGGGUAUGUUAUUAUGUUAAGUGUAUGUUAUUAUUUUAAGGGUAUGUUAGAAUCACCUUUAUUCGCCAAGUAAAUGUACACACACUCUGAAUGUCACUAGGUGAUAUGGAGCAUCAACAGUGAGAAUAGCAGGACAUCAUGGGGCUCCAGAGAGAAAGAGGCAUGGAAUGUGGUGCCAACACCUUGUCUGCCUGGGUGAAGGGUAGAUAG
rnacentral:lncRNA from 1 species